rnacentral:rRNA from 1 species
GAUGAACGCUGGCGGCGUGCCUAAUACAUGCAAGUCGAGCGAACAGACGAGGAGCUUGCUCCUCUGACGUUAGCGGCGGACGGGUGAGUAACACGUGGAUAACCUACUUCUAAGACUGGGAUAACUUCGGGAAACCGGAGCUACUACCGGCUAAUAUAUUCAACCGCAUGGUUCAAUAGUGAAAGACGGCUUUGCUGUCACUUUUAGAUGGAUCCGCGCCGCAUUAGCUAGUUGGUAAGGUAACGGCUUACCAAGGCAACGAUGCGUAGCCGACCUGAGAGGGUGAUCGGCCACACUGGAACUGAGACACGGUCCAGACUCCUACGGGAGGCAGCAGUAGGGAAUCUUCCACAAUGGGCGCAAGCCUGACGGAGCAACGCCGCGUGAGUGAUGAAGGUCUUCGGGUCGUAAAACUCUGUUGUUAGGGAAGAACAAAUGUGUAAGUAACUAUGCACGUCUUGACGGUACCUAAACAGAAAGCCACGGCUAACUACGUG